GUAGCACAGAGAGCUUGCUCUCGGGUGACGAGUGGCGGACGGGUGAGUAAUGUCUGGGAAACUGCCUGAUGGAGGGGGAUAACUACUGGAAACGGUAGCUAAUACCGCAUAACGUCGCAAGACCAAAGAGGGGGACCUUCGGGCCUCUUGCCAUCAGAUGUGCCCAGAUGGGAUUAGCUAGUAGGUGGGGUAACGGCUCACCUAGGCGACGAUCCCUAGCUGGUCUGAGAGGAUGACCAGCCACACUGGAACUGAGACACGGUCCAGACUCCUACGGGAGGCAGCAGUGGGGAAUAUUGCACAAUGGGCGCAAGCCUGAUGCAGCCAUGCCGCGUGUAUGAAGAAGGCCUUCGGGUUGUAAAGUACUUUCAGCGGGGAGGAAGGUGUUGUGGUUAAUAACCGCAGCAAUUGACGUUACCCGCAGAAGAAGCACCGGCUAACUCCGUGCCAGCAGCCGCGGUAAUACGGAGGGUGCAAGCGUUAAUCGGAAUUACUGGGCGUAAAGCGCACGCAGGCGGUCUGUCAAGUCGGAUGUGAAAUCCCCGGGCUCAACCUGGGAACUGCAUUCGAAACUGGCAGGCUAGAGUCUUGUAGAGGGGGGUAGAAUUCCAGGUGUAGCGGUGAAAUGCGUAGAGAUCUGGAGGAAUACCGGUGGCGAAGGCGGCCCCCUGGACAAAGACUGACGCUCAGGUGCGAAAGCGUGGGGGAGCAAACAGGAUUAGAUACCCUGGUAGUCCACGCCGUAAACGAUGUCGAUUUGGAGGUUGUGCCCUUGAGGCGUGGCUUCCGGAGCUAACGCGUUAAAUCGACCGCCUGGGGGAGUACGGCCGCAAGGUUAAAACUCAAAUGAAUUGACGGGGGCCCGCACAAGCGGUGGAGCAUGUGGUUUAAUU
rnacentral:rRNA from 1 species